rnacentral:rRNA from 1 species
AUCUUCCGCAAUGGGCGAAAGCCUGACGGAGCAACGCCGCGUGAGUGAUGAAGGUUUUCGGCCCGUAAAACUCUGUUAUUGGGGAAGAACAAAUGUGUCAGUAACUGUGCACAUCUUGACGGUACCUAAUCAGAAAGCCACGGCUAACUACGUGCCAGCAGCCGCGGUAAUACGUAGGUGGCAAGCGUUAUCCGGAAUUAUUGGGCGUAAAGCGCGCGUAGGCGGUUUCUUAAGUCUGAUGUGAAAGCCCACGGCUCAACCGUGAAGGGUCAUUGGAAACUGGGAAACUUGAGUGCAGAAGAAGAAAGUGGAAUUCCAUGUGUAGCGGUGAAAUGCGCAGAGAUAUGGAGGAACACCAGUGGCGAAGGCGGCUUUCUGGUCUGUAACUGACGCUGAUGUGCGAAAGCGUGGGGAUCAAACA